rnacentral:rRNA from 1 species
GACGAACGCUGGCGGCGUGCCUAACACAUGCAAGUCGAGCGGAGCGGCGAACGAGAGAGUAAAGCGUGAGUAACUGCCCCCCUCUCUGGGAAAACAGUUGGAAAUGGCUGCUAAUACCGGUAAGUGGGGGAUGACUCGCGUCCUAUGAGCUUGUUGGUGGGGUAGUGGCCUACGAAGGCGAUGACGGGUAGCCGGCCUGAGAGGGCGACCGGCCACAAUGGGCUGAGGUACGGCCCAAUCUGGAAUGGGAGGCAGCAGAGGGGAAGAUUGCACAAUGGGGGAAAGCCUGAUGAAGAGGCGCUGGUGCGGAAUGACGGCCUUCGGGUUGUAAACCGCAUUCAGCCUAACCGCGGUAGUGAAAGAGGAAGCACCGGCUAACUACGUGCCAGCAGCCGCGGUAAUUC